rnacentral:rRNA from 1 species
CCUACGGGAGGCAGCAGUGAGGAAUAUUGGUCAAUGGACGAGAGUCUGAACCAGCCAAGUAGCGUGAAGGAUGACUGCCCUAUGGGUUGUAAACUUCUUUUAUAAAGGAAUAAAACGAGGCACGUGUGCCUUUUUGCAUGUACUUUAUGAAUAAGGAUCGGCUAACUCCGUGCCAGCAGCCGCGGUAAUACGGAGGAUCCGAGCGUUAUCCGGAUUUAUUGGGUUUAAAGGGUGCGUAGAUGGGUAGUUAAGUCAGUUGUGAAAUUUUGCGGCUCAACCGUAAUAUUGCAAUUGAUACUGGCAGUCUUGAGUACAGUUGAGGUAGGCGGAAUUCGUGGUGUAGCGGUGAAAUGCUUAGAUAUCACGAAGAACCCCGAUUGCGAAGGCAGCUUACUAAACUGUGACUGACAUUGAUGCUCGAAAGUGUGGGUAUCAAACAGGAUUAGAUACCCGAGUAGUC